AGAUCACCGUGACGGCCCCCAAAUCCACACUACCCGCUGUGCCGUGCCGUCUGAGGUGCCAAAGUCUCCUGCUCCCUGCUACAAUAACAGUGCAGUGGACACAGCGUGCAGGUGCGAAGCCCAGGACUUUCUACUCUCUGGCUGAUUUAGAGCCUUCGGGGAGGACUACUGGGGAGUUCCGACGACUGUUGGACUUCGUUGCAGGCGGGGAGACCCUCUGGGAAUAUGGACACCAGGAAAGCAGGACCCUCCACAGCAGGGGUAUUCUAUUUGCUACCCAAGAUCCAUAAACCUGGAUAUCCUGGACGCCCCAUCAUCUCAGGCAUUGGCACCCUAACAUCAGGCUUGUCUGGUUAUGUAGACUCUGUCCUAAGACCCUACGCUACCAGCACUCCCAG